rnacentral:misc_RNA from 1 species
GAAAUGCGAUAAGUAAUGUGAAUUGCAGAAUUCAGUGAAUCAUCGAAUCUUUGAACGCACAUUGCGCCCGUUAGCAUUCUAGCGGGCAUGCCUGUCCGAGCAUCAUUUCAACCCUCAGGGCCCCCCGUUCCGGCGGGCGGACCUGGCGUUGGGGAUCGGCCCGCCCCGUGCGGCGCCGUCCCCCAAAUACAGUGGCGGUCCCGCCGCAGCCUCCCCUGCGUAGUAGUUUACAACCUCGCAUCGGAGCGCGGCGCGGCCACGCCGUAAAACCCCCGACUUUCUGAACGUUGACCUCGGAUCAGGUAGGAAUACCCGCUGAACUUAAGC